rnacentral:rRNA from 2 species
CCAAGAAGUCCAACAUGUGCGCGAGUCAUUGGGUGCUACGAAACCUAAAGGCGCAAUGAAGGUGAGAGGUGAGAUCCCCGUCCACCGCGGCGAGGCGCAUCACCGGCCCGUCUGCAAAGGCGGAGCACGAGCGCACACGUUGGGACCCGAAAGAUGGUGAACUAUGCCUGAGCAGGACGAAGCCAGAGGAAACUCUGGUGGAAGUCCGCAGCGAUUCUGACGUGCAAAUCGAUCGUCAAACUUGGGUAUAGGGGCGAAAGACUAAUCGAACCAUCUA